UAUGUCUCCAAUUAGUGGUCUCACCUUCCAUUCCACCUUAUGGGAUUAGUAUUAGAUAAAGCUUAGAUGAAGAGGAGUGAAUCUCUCCUUCAUAAAUGAUAUUGGUGAGUUAUUGUACUGUUCAGAAUAUAAGGUUACUCCCUGAUUGCUCCUCUAGGUUGCUGCAACAGUCAAUUCAACCUCGAAAUUAUGUCAUCCGGCGAAGAAUUCCAGUUUUCUGGGGGCAAACUAGCAGAUUGAAUGUACACCUUCGUCCCCUAGACAUGGAUGGAACUUUUGACAUCCGAAAAACCAGGAGAUUGAUUUAGGGAGAUACUUCGAGUAAAUCUCAACUCGCUUUCAUGCACUGUUACAUCUGAAAUAUAUGAUUUCCGACAAGGGAUCUUCUUUAUUAUUUUAUCAUUUUCACGUUCCUCACCCUCAACAUCAAAAAUUUGUUUGACCAAAUCGCAUAUCAUGAUUAGUAGAUUUGUCAGAAUCAACAAGUUAAAGGAGUCUAAUCCAACUGCUACUCGAGCUAUAUCACUGAGAAACAACUUCUGCCGUCGAUUGCAGGUAUUCAAUAGGACUGUGCACCUCUUCCAUCCAUCUUCUGUCCUUCCUAACACAGGAAGAAGCCAAAGUGAACAGCAUCAAUUUGCCGAAGCAGUAUUCAACAUGCUGCCGACAGACGACUGACACGUCAUCACAGGAUACUUUGAUUUUUUUGUCAGAAGUAGAAUCCUUCCUUGCACCAUUCAAUCGGCCAAUGCAUCAUUAAUGAGAAAUGUUGGGGAUGAUAGCAUUUUCAACUAAAUUAAUUAAUAUACCCGUAAUUUUUCUACACUGAAAUUUACCAACCACCAUUAAAUGCAAACUUCAAUAUCAACAGCCACACUGGGAUCUGAAUUUAGGUCAAAAAAAUAAACUCUUGAUUAUAUUGGCCCCCGUGCAGGCAGGCAGCCUCAAAGAGUCAGGCA